UCUCGCUUUCGAGUUGUGGAAGAAUCUGAGGUAAGAAUGGGAUUCGAGUAAAUCUUCGAAUUCCCAAACUGCCUCUUUUAUGAGUUCAUCCAAAGCAUUCACCUCUGUCCUGAUCUUGCUGCAGCUGGUCUCAUCCAAUUCGAGUAGAACUUUCUGCAAUCGAUCCAUCUGGUCGUAGGCAGGUUGUAAGAUUUGUGGAGAGUGGGAAACGUGAGAAAUGCGAGACGAUUGUAGAAUAUGCUGAAUCGUAUUCUUGAGAGAAGCCGCCGCACCAAAAGCCGCCAUACCCAAAUUAUCAGCUGAGAUACGAUAUAUUGUUGAAAUGAAAUUGCUUAGGUCUGCAAUUUUCCUCCAAAAUGAAGCUUAAACUAAACUGCAAUUAACCCAGAAUAAAAUUCAGUCGCCUAAGAAAGAAACGAAGAAGAAGAAGAAGGAAUUAUAAUAAGCAAACGCAGACGAAACAAAUGAUAGAUCUCAGUUCUCUGCUUACCUCUCGAAGGCGGCGGCAGCUGGUUUUGAUACAAUUUCAGAAACAUUCAAAACCACAUUCAAGAAUUUUAGUAAAUGAUUUGAAAAGAUGUGUAUAAUGUAAUGGUAAAAUCGAUCUAUUGAUGAUUUUGAAUGCAAUUGUGUGGAAGAAUUGUAGCAAGAAACAAAGCAACCGAAGAUUGUAAUUAUUAAGAAUGAGCAAUCAACCACUUGAAAAUUAUGAAAGAAGUGUGAAAACACAUGGCUUCCACUAGUUUUCGUAAAAGAAAACGCACGCCAAUAAAGCUAAUAAUAAAAUAUCCUAUAUAUAAUUAUAUUGGGUCCUAGCCCAAGCUUAUCA
rnacentral:lncRNA from 1 species